AUUACACCUAUGCUCUCGCAGGAUUUAAAUUAGGAAAAUCUCACGGGGAUAACUCGUUUAGCGAUGAAAAAGACCUCCUCCCUUCAUCAUAAAACUCGCUAUCAAUCCUUGGUGCAGAAUCCAUUCCCUGGAUGUGGAGAAUCUUGAGGACUUGCAAUUCUCCUGUUGUGGGGAGUCUUUCACAUCAUGGGCAAUAGAUUGACUCAAGCUCUGUCAGAUUGCUGAUAGUAACUAAAUGGGAAACUGAGUUCCCAGAAAUCCAUUUAUGAACAACCUUCUUAUACCAAGGUUAGGCUGCAGAAAAGAAAUCACAGCUUCUGCAUUAUUACUUCCAAAUACAUUUCUAUUUGUCUCGUCCCGGCAUGUAGCGAUUCUUUUUACCUGCAUCAAUUUUACCCCAUGAGUCCCAUUGAUUGAAGUUGCAUACCCUCUAAGAAGAGAGACUCUUUAUAAAAGAAGCAAGGUUGAUUUAUUUCAGAUUCAUUAUCUG
rnacentral:misc_RNA from 1 species